UACAGAGGUCCCGAGCGUUGUUCGGAUUUAUUGGGCGUAAAGGGUGCGUAGGCGGCGGAGUAAGUUGGGUGUGAAAUCCCGAGGCUCAACCUCGGAAUUGCAUUCAAUACUGCUUCGCUCGAGUACUGGAGAGGAGGCUGGAAUUUACGGUGUAGCAGUGAAAUGCGUAGAUAUCGUAAGGAAGACCAGUGGCGAAGGCGGGUCUCUGGACAGUUCCUGACGCUGAGGCACGAAGGCCAGGGGAGCAAACGGG
rnacentral:rRNA from 1 species